rnacentral:rRNA from 1 species
CACAGUAAGAGCUUGCUCUUAUGGGUGGCGAGUGGCGGACGGGUGAGGAAUACAUCGGAAUCUACUCUGUCGUGGGGGAUAACGUAGGGAAACUUACGCUAAUACCGCAUACGACCUACGGGUGAAAGCAGGGGAUCUUCGGACCUUGCGCGAUUGAAUGAGCCGAUGUCGGAUUAGCUAGUUGGCGGGGUAAAGGCCCACCAAGGCGACGAUCCGUAGCUGGUCUGAGAGGAUGAUCAGCCACACUGGAACUGAGACACGGUCCAGACUCC